AAGGUCCCGAGAUUUGGCAACCGCUUCAAACGCCUAAUCCUCGUUGAGCAUCCGUUAGGAUUAAACUCAAGAUCCACUAUAUACCACCCAAAAAUAGGCAAAGAGUUCGAGUUACAUAGGACAUGCAGUUCCAGAUUCUCAAUCACCACAAAAACUUCUCACAGCAUAAUGGACUCACACAAGAGUUCAUCUAAUUUCUAUUUCUCUCAACAAAUCACUCAAGAUCUAAGAGAGAAUAAUCGAAAAAUCAGAGAAGAUGAAAAACUCAAAGAAUAUAGAAGCUGCUCAAAAAUGAAUCAUCUGAAACCCUAAAGCCUUCCCAUGUUCCUUUUAUAUGAGAGUGACAGAUUUUUGGUCAUCUAACGGUCCAUCACUUGCCACGUGUCAUAAAUCCACUAGAAGUGUCAUUUGAGAACAGAAAACGCAUUUCAAUUCUUUCUGUUCAAGAGCCGAUUUUCAUAUUCUAGAGAUUUCUUCUUACUGGAUCACCAAAUUGGGCCUCCAAGCUUGGGCCAUACAUCUCAGUCCAUUUCGAUCAACUGGGCCACACAAAAUUCGGCAAACCAUACAUUUAAAAAAAAAUUGUUAGUUAUGAUAAUUACAUAAACACACCAUAUAUUUUAGACUAGUCUACAACGUUAAAAAAUGAAGAUUAAACUGAAUCUCAAGAAGCCAAACUGACAUCUAGUGGCUGAAAUUACUUAUUUGAUUUUUGAUUUGAUCAUACUUUAUUCUCUUCUAUUUAUGAAUCAAUAGAUAGUUAAUAAGAUACUGAAAUGGAGAGAUUUAUGGGAAUAAGGAUAUGCUUCUUCAGAACAUUAUCAUUUCAUCUCGUACAACACAGUGCAUUCUUAAGUCGAUCAUAAACUGUUUAAANAAAAAAAAAAAAAAAAAAAAAAAAACCAACCUGUUUAUUCUCUUCACAGUGCUAAAGUGUAUAAAAAAUAGAUAGGUAAUAAGAUACUGAAAUGGAGAGAUUUAUGGAAAUAAGGAUAUGCUUCUUCAGAACAUUAUCAUUUCAUCUCGUACAACACAGUGCAUUCUUAAGUCGAUCAUAAACUGUUUAAAGGCUUUCUUCAUUUAAUUCUGCAGAGCCUUCGCGCGAUGUUUGUGCAAAUUGAAUCCUACAUAGUUUCCAUGGUAAUCAAAUCAAAGUAGUUAAAGAGGUUAUAAAACAUUUAUUGAAAAUUCACUCAAU
rnacentral:lncRNA from 1 species